AAUGCACUCUACUGUAAGCCGCUCUGGAUAAGAGUGUCUACUAAAUGACUCAAA
rfam:Salmo salar isolate Sally breed double haploid chromosome ssa21, whole genome shotgun sequence.